rnacentral:rRNA from 1 species
UGGGGAAUUUUGGACAAUGGGCGAAAGCCUGAUCCAGCAAUGCCGCGUGUGUGAAGAAGGCCUUCGGGUUGUAAAGCACUUUUGUCCGGAAAGAAAUCCUUGGCUCUAAUACAGUCGGGGGAUGACGGUACCGGAAGAAUAAGCACCGGCUAACUACGUGCCAGCAGCCGCGGUAAUACGUAGGGUGCAAGCGUUAAUCGGAAUUACUGGGCGUAAAGCGUGCGCAGGCGGUUUGCUAAGACCGAUGUGAAAUCCCCGGGCUCAACCUGGGAACUGCAUUGGUGACUGGCAGGCUAGAGUAUGGCAGAGGGGGGUAGAAUUCCACGUGUAGCAGUGAAAUGCGUAGAGAUGUGGAGGAAUACCGAUGGCGAAGGCAGCCCCUGGGCCAAUACUGACGCUCAUGCACGAAAGCGUGGGGAGCAAACAGGAUUAGAUACCCUGGUAGUCCACGCCCUAAACGAUGUCAACUAGUUGUUGGGGAUUCAUUUCCUUAGUAACGUAGCUAACGCGUGAAGUUGACCGCCUGGGGAGUACGGUCGCAAGAUUAAAACUCAAAUGAAUUGACGGGGUCAUAGCUGUUUCCU